rnacentral:rRNA from 1 species
UAUUAUUUUAGCGGCGGACGGGUGAGUAACGUGUGGGUAACCUGCCUUUUACUAUGGAAUAAUCGUUGGAAACGACGACUAAUACCGCAUACGGUUCUUGGAAGGCAUCUUCUAAGAAAGAAAGGAGUAAUUCGGUAAAAGAUGGGCCCGCAUCUGAUUAGCUAGUUGGUGAGAUAAUAGCCCACCAAGGCAACGAUCAGUAGCCGACCUGAGAGGGUGACCGGCCACAUUGGGACUGAGACACGGCCCAAACUCCUACGGAAGGCAGCAG